UCCCUGACGGUCCAGUGGCAAGGAUUCAGCACUCUAACUGCCGAGGGCCCGGGUUCAACCCCUGGUUGGGGAA
rnacentral:tRNA from 1 species